rnacentral:rRNA from 1 species
AGAUUGAACGCUGGCGGCGUGCCUAACACAUGCAAGUCGAGCGGUAACAGGUGUAGCAAUACAUGCUGACGAGCGGCGAACGGGUGAGUAAUGCUUUGGAAUCUUCCCAGUAGUGGGGAAUAACCAGUCGAAAGAUUGGCUAAUACCGCAUACGUCUGUAAAGGGAAAGCGGGGGCUCGUAAGACCUCGCGCUAUUGGAUGAGCCAAAGUCGGAUUAGCUAGUUGGUGGGGUAACGGCCUACCAAGGCGACAAUCCGUAGCUGGUCUGAGAGGACGACCAGCCACACCGGAACUGAGACACGGUCCGGACUCCUACGGGAGGCAGCAGUGGGGAAUAUUGGACAAUGGGGGAAACCCUGAUCCAGCGACGCCGCGUGUGUGAAGAGGCCUGCGGGUUGUAAGCACUUUUAGUGGGGACAAAAGCUACGGAUUAAUACUCUGUGGUCUUGAUUUAACCCAAAGAAAAGCACCGGCUAACUCUGCGCCAGCAGCCGC